GCUGGCAUGGUAUAUAAGGUUGUGCCCUAGUCUUCCAAACUAGAGAAGCCGGUUCGAAUCCGACUGCCCGCUCCA
rnacentral:tRNA from 1 species